AGGAAUAGCCUCGGGAAACUGGGAGUAAUGCCUUAUAAGAUACGUUUGUCGCAUGGCAUUUGUAUUAAACGCUCCGGCGCCAUAGGAUGGACCCGCGUCCCAUUAGCUAGUUGGUGAGAUAACAGCUCACCAAGGCCACGAUGGGUAACCGGUCUGAGAGGGCGAACGGUCACACUGGAACUGAGACACGGUCCAGACUCCUACGGGAGGCAGCAGUGGGGAAUAUUGCGCAAUGGGGGCAACCCUGACGCAGCAAUACCGCGUGAGUGAAGAAGGUUUUCGGAUCGUAAAGCUCUGUUAUUGGGGAAGAAAAAAAGGCGGUACCCAAGAAGAAAGUUCCGGCUAACUACGUGCCAGCAGCCGCGGUAAUACGUAGGGAACAAGCGUUGUCCGGAUUUACUGGGCGUAAAGGGCACGCAGGCGGUUUUUUAAGUCAGAUGUGAAAGGCCACAGCUCAACUGUGGACAUGCAUUUGAAACUGAAAGACUUGAGUAUUGGAGAGGCAAGUGGAAUUCCUAGUGUAGCGGUGAAAUGCGUAGAUAUUAGGAGGAACACCGGUGGCGAAGGCGGCUUGCUGGACAAAUACUGAC
rnacentral:rRNA from 1 species